ACUGGUAGUAGCAGUAAUUAGGUAACGUGUGGAAGAAGAGAUAAAAAGAAAUAUGUACAGAGAGGGGUUACCGUACAAAGAAACAGAGAGCCUAAUCUCAUUUACUGAUCCAAACCUAACCGUAAGAAGAAACCCCAAAAGAUCACAAUGAUUAUAUAAUCCAGCUUGCUGCUUUCACUGAUCAUCAACUUACUGGGUUUUUUGCUAACAGUGUGCGUGAUUUCCCAUGCAAGCAAAAGAUCAUCUCAUC
rnacentral:lncRNA from 1 species